rnacentral:rRNA from 1 species
AGGACGAACGCUGGCGGCGUGCUUAACACAUGCAAGUCGAGCGGAAAGGCCCUUCGGGGUACUCGAGCGGCGAACGGGUGAGUGACACGUGAGUAACCUGCCCCAGACUUUGGGAUAACCCUCGGAAACGGGGGCUAAUACCGGAUACGACACUCUACCGCAUGGUGUGGGUGUGGAAAGUUUUUUCGGUUGGGAUGGGCUCGCGGCCUAUCAGCUUGUUGGUGGGUGAUGGCCUACCAAGGCGACGACGGGU